UGUAUUUUCCCAAAGAAAAUAUACUACAAAUGACUUUCUUUCUUUUUUUUUUUUUUUUCUUUUUCUGGAGACAAAUUCUCCCUCUGUCACCCAGGCUGGAGUGCAGUGGUGCAAUCACAGCUCACUGCAACCUCAAACUCCUGGGCUCAAGCAAUCCUCCAGCCUCAGCCUCCUGAGCAGCUGGGACUACAGGUGUAUGACACCAUGCCCAGCUAUUUUUUUUAAAUAAAUGACUUUCUAAGGUAUCUACAUUUAUUCAGUCCUGUGUUUCUGUUAGGACAUCUUCUAUUACAAAAUCUACGAGGAAAUCUAGAGGCCUCCAAGGACCUGGCUGGGCUUCAACUCUGGCUGAGUUUGAGAUGAGUAAACCAGACUGAAGGACCUUGCCCAAGGCCUGCUUCAGCUGCCAGCCACCCACACUUGCUAAGAGAAAGGAAAGGAGCUUUGUCACCUCCUGAGGGACUGCCUCUGCCAUCAGAAAACCACCCCAAUCCCUGGCACCAGCAGAGCUGGGUUGCAUCUGACUACCGUUAGCAGCUGUCCUUCAGAAGGAGGAGAUCCACCUGUCUCGAUAUCAGUGUCCUCAUUUGUGGAAUAAAAGCUCUGGAAUAAGGGAGACAUGAGACAGCAAUCAGUAUGUAUAAGAUGUACAUUGGUUCCAUCUGGAAAGGGGACAACUCGAGGUGAAGGCGGGACAACUCAAAGCGCGGAGGGGGCUUCCAGAUCAUAGAUCCACCCUGAUUUCAGCGGGCGUUCCUGGGUCUUGUAUGCACUAGGUGCCCUCAAUGCUUGGCAACUGGAAUGGGUUAGCCUGGAGGCAUUUAGGCUGUCCUUCUACAACCACAGAAGAGCCAUCACUGGCAGAGAGAUCCUUGGCGCAGUUAAGCAGAGAUCUUCUCAGAAGAGCUUUUGAAUAAAUGAAGUUGUUCAGAAUGGCCUUGUUAAAAUGACUCACUUGUCAAAAAACUAGAUGUGUUGGAAGGCUGGGUUGGAAGACAAGAUGUCUGAGAAGCUGUCCUGCUGCAUGAGGAGUUUCAUUGCUACACACCUAGUCUCUGGGUCCUGUGUUUUUGGCCUCCAGCUUACUUCGUGAACAUAAUAAAGGAAAGGCAUUUUCUCUUGUGCAU
rnacentral:lncRNA from 1 species